rnacentral:lncRNA from 1 species
AUGACUCAGCCCGGGUUCUGCACCAAAACGACCGUACAUCAUUGUGAAGGUAGAGCAGCCAAUGGUCAAGAACAAGCACAUCAAGGAGUUGACCCAGGAGUUGACCCAGAACCUUUGAGGAGCCUGGUGGAAUACCUGGAUGUGAACGAGGAGAACGACUGUCAGAUCGCCCUCUAUGAGCCCAUGAUUAAUAUGUACAAUUGGCUACAACUAGAGGAAGCGUACAGACACUGAUAUACAGUUGAAGUCGGAAGUUUACAUAUACCUGAGACAAAUACAUUUCAACUCAGUUUUUCACAAUUCCUGACAUUUAAUCUGAGUAAAAAAUCCCUGUUUUAGGUCAGUUGGGAUCACCACUUUAUUUUAAGAAUGUGAAAUGUCAGAAUAAUAGUAGAGAGAAUUAUUUAUUUCAGCUAUUAUUUCUUUCAUUACAUUCCCAGUGGGUCAGAAGUUUACAUACACUGAAUUAGUAUUUGGUAACAUUGCCUUCAAAUUGUUUAACUUGGGUCAAACGUUUUGGGUAGCCUUCCACAAGCUUCCCACAAUAAAUUGAGUGAAUUUUGGCCCAUUCCUCCUGACAGAGCUGGUGUAACUGAGUCAGGUUUGUAGGCCUCCUUGCUCACACAUUUUUCAGUUCUGCCCACAAAUCCUCUAUAGGAUUGAGGUCAGGGCUUUGUGAUGGCCACUCCAAUACCUUAACUUUGUUGUCCUUAUCCUUUGAGAAGCUGCCUGCAGGACAGAACGCCACAGUGGCUGUGAUGAGAUACAGUGCUUAUGACAUAGAGGAUGCUCUUAUCCUCAACAAGGCCUCUCUAGACAGAGGUGAAUUACUGAUCUACGUUAAUGUAUGUCUAUGAGCUGAGCAGGUAAAUUGUAUUGUAUUCUGCAGGGGUUAAAGUGUCAAUUCUGUUUGUACACUUGUUUACAUGGAUAUGCUUCUUAAUAAAAACAUAUUUGAAACGAGCCAUUACGUUUCGUUAUUAUCAUGUAAUUUCCUUAUUAUUAUUCAGUUUAUUACUUCUACAUAUAAAUCAACAAAUUAAGAAAUGGCAGGUUGGAGAGGAUCUGUCACAUGUUUGUAUUGACACAACAUUAACAGAGUCAAAAUAAAGAUAUGGCUAAAUUGGCUUUGUCUGUUGGCUUUUCUGCAUAUAAUUGAUCCUAUUUCGACGCAAAAGACAUUCAAACAAAGUUCAAUGGGUUUUCUUCCCCUUUUCCCGAAAUAUAUGCAUAUAGUCACAAACCCUGCUGCGGUCAUUCGAUCGUUCUUUAAAGAGAG